rnacentral:rRNA from 1 species
UAGCAGUGGGGAAUAUUGCACAAUGGGCGAAAGCCUGAUGCAGCGACGCCGCGUGAGGGAUGACGGCCUUCGGGUUGUAAACCUCUUUCAGCAGGGAAGAAGCGCAAGUGACGGUACCUGCAGAAGAAGCGCCGGCUAACUACGUGCCAGCAGCCGCGGUAAUACGUAGGGCGCAAGCGUUGUCCGGAAUUAUUGGGCGUAAAGAGCUCGUAGGCGGUCUGUCGCGUCUGGUGUGAAAUCCCGAGGCUCAACCUCGGGCUUGCAUCGGGUACGGGCAGACUAGAGUGCGGUAGGGGAGACUGGAAUUCCUGGUGUAGCGGUGGAAUGCGCAGAUAUCAGGAGGAACACCGAUGGCGAAGGCAGGUCUCUGGGCCGCAACUGACGCUGAGGAGCGAAAGCAUGGGGAGCGAACAGGAUUAGAUACCCUGGUAGUCCAUGCCGUAAACGUUGGGCACUAGGUGUGGGGCUCAUUCCACGAGUUCCGUGCCGCAGCUAACGCAUUAAGUGCCCCGCCUGGGGAGUACGGCCGCAAGGCUAAAACUCAAAUGAAUUGACGGA